UGUUCUGAACGGAUGCAUGCGGUUGUAUUAUUUUGCAUCCAAAGUCUACUUGAAAACUUUUCAGUAUGGAUCUAGAUUGCAAUGUUCAUGUUGGACACUAGAUGUCAGUACAACCUGUAUUUACAUCUGUAUUACAAUUAGAAUAUCUGUAUUAUUUAUGGUGUAUUUAGUAUCUUUUAAUGACCAAACACAUUCACACUUCAUUUAAUCUCUUUAAAAAAGCAAAUCAGACUUAUUUUUUUUAUUGGACAUCCCCCCAUUUGUAAUGGUUAGGUUGGUACAGUGAAAGCCCUUACUGGCCUCUUAUUGCCAUCUAACCACUGCACUGAUGCAGGGUCUGCUGUGUUAGCCAUAUGUAAAAUUCUCUAUGUAGGUCUAUGAGAGCCUCAAUGAGCAUGUCAUAGAGGUACAUAGAGAAUCUCACUUCAAACUGACACAGCAGAUGCUGUAUUAGUCUGGUGAGCAGACUGCAGGGCACAUGAUCCAGAAGUGCCAGGAACAGAAUCAAUCUAUGCAGAAUAAAGAGGCUGGUAAGGACUAUUUUGUGGGAUGAGUUGCAUUUUAAUGCCACCUUUUUGGGGUACCUCUAAUGUAUAAUAUAACUUUAACGCUUUCUGCGGCAAUUGGGGGAGCUGUGCAUUCCUUGUAGUAGCCUUAGUUCUACUGACCUACAACAAUAGUUCCUAUGGAGGCCUGCAGAUGGCAGAAAUAUAUGUUAAUUCAUUGUAGUCUAAGGGACAAGCUCUCUAAUGAAUGCAUGUUCAAGUCCCUCAAGGGGAAUUAAUGUGUAAAAAGUAAAAAAUAUAUAUAUAUAUAAUUCAACUCCCCCACAGUAAACAAUUAAUAAAAAUCAUAAGCGUCCUCGUCCCCAAAUUCCCAUACUAUUAAAAUAUAGACGCAUUUAUGCCGUACAGUGAGAUAAUGGCCAAUUCGCUAUUUUUUAUUUUCUUUUUACAUAUUUUAAAACUUCAUUCAACUAUAUAUA